rnacentral:rRNA from 1 species
CGGACGCUGACGAGUGGCGAACGGGUGAGUAAUACAUCGGAACGUGCCCAGUCGUGGGGGAUAACUACUCGAAAGAGUAGCUAAUACCGCAUACGAUCUGAGGAUGAAAGCGGGGGACCUUCGGGCCUCGCGCGAUUGGAGCGGCCGAUGGCAGAUUAGGUAGUUGGUGGGAUAAAAGCUUACCAAGCCGACGAUCUGUAGCUGGUCUGAGAGGACGACCAGCCACACUGGGACUGAGACACGGCCCAGACUCCUACGGGAGGCAGCAGUGGGGAAUUUUGGACAAUGGGCGAAAGCCUGAUCCAGCAAUGCCGCGUGCAGGAUGAAGGCCUUCGGGUUGUAAACUGCUUUUGUACGGAACGAAAAAGCUCCUUCUAAUACAGGGGGCCCAUGACGGUACCGUAAGAAUAAGCACCGGCUAACUACGUGCCAGCAGCCGCGGUAAUACGUAGGGUGCGAGCGUUAAUCGGAAUUACUGGGCGUAAAGCGUGCGCAGGCGGUUAUGUAAGACAGAUGUGAAAUCCCCGGGCUCAACCUGGGAACUGCAUUUGUGACUGCAUGGCUAGAGUACGGUAGAGGGGGAUGGAAUUCCGCGUGUAGCAGUGAAAUGCGUAGAUAUGCGGAGGAACACCGAUGGCGAAGGCAAUCCCCUGGACCUGUACUGACGCUCAUG